rnacentral:rRNA from 1 species
UACGAAGGGGGCUAGCGUUGUUCGGAUUUACUGGGCGUAAAGCGCACGUAGGCGGAUUGUUAAGUCAGGGGUGAAAUCCUGGAGCUCAACUCCAGAACUGCCUUUGAUACUGGCAAUCUUGAGUCCGGAAGAGGUGAGUGGAACUCCUAGUGUAGAGGUGGAAUUCGUAGAUAUUCGGAAGAACACCAGUGGCGAAGGCGGCCCGCUGGACAAGUAUUGACGCUGAGGUGCGAAAGCGGUGGGGAGCAAACAGGG